CACUAAGAAGCUGAAGAGGACAGCGUUAGCCUUUUAAGCUAAAGACUGGUGAUUACCAACCACCCCUAGUGAC
rnacentral:tRNA from 1 species